UACGGAGGAUGCGAGCGUUAUCCGGAUUUAUUGGGUUUAAAGGGAGCGUAGACGGGAUGUUAAGUCAGCUGUGAAAGUUUGGGGCUCAACCUUAAAAUUGCAGUUGAAACUGGCAUUCUUGAGUGCGGCAGAGGCAGGCGGAAUUCGUGGUGUAGCGGUGAAAUGCUUAGAUAUCACGAAGAACUCCGAUUGCGAAGGCAGCCUGCCGCAGCGCAACUGACGCUGAGGCUCGAAAGCGCGGGUAUCGAACAGG
rnacentral:rRNA from 1 species